rnacentral:tRNA from 1 species
GCCGAGAUGGUGGAAUGGCAGACACGCUAGCUUGAGGGGCUAGUGAGAGUUAAAUCUCGUGAGAGUUCAAAUCUCUCUCUCGGCACCA